rnacentral:rRNA from 1 species
CCUACGGGUGGCAGCAGUGGGGAAUAUUGGACAAUGGGCGAAAGCCUGAUCCAGCCAUGCCGCGUGUGUGAAGAAGGCCUUCGGGUUGUAAAGCACUUUCAGUGCGGAAGAAAGCCUUGGGGCUAAUACCCUCGAGGAAGGACAUCACCCACAGAAGAAGCACCGGCUAACUCCGUGCCAGCAGCCGCGGUAAUACGGAGGGUGCGAGCGUUAAUCGGAAUUACUGGGCGUAAAGCGCGCGUAGGCGGUCUGAUAAGCCGGUUGUGAAAGCCCCGGGCUCAACCUGGGAACGGCAUCCGGAACUGUCAGGCUAGAGUGCAGGAGAGGAAGGUAGAAUUCCCGGUGUAGCGGUGAAAUGCGUAGAGAUCGGGAGGAAUACCAGUGGCGAAGGCGGCCUUCUGGACUGACACUGACGCUGAGGUGCGAAAGCGUGGGUAGCAAACAGGAUUAGAUACCCCUGUAGUC